AAGCAUGUCAGAAGGACAUUUUCUGAUCAAUUGUUUGUUUCUUUCCCAAGCUUCAUAGAGGGAUUCACCAUCUUUUUGUUUGAAGGUCUAAACAUCCACUCUAAGCUU